UACGGAGGGGGCUAGCGUUAUUCGGAAUCACUGGGCGUAAAGCGCGUGUAGGCGGUCUGUAAAGUCAGAGGUGAAAUCCCGGAGCUUAACUUCGGAAUUGCCUUUGAAACUCAUAGACUAGAAUCCGAUAGAGGACAGUGGAAUUCCUAGUGUAGAGGUGAAAUUCGUAGAUAUUAGGAGGAACACCAGUGGCGAAGGCGACUGUCUGGAUCGGUAUUGACGCUAAGACGCGAAAGCGUGGGGAGCAAAC
rnacentral:rRNA from 1 species